CCUACGGGGGCAGCAGUGGGGAAUAUUGGACAAUGGGCGAAAGCCUGAUCCAGCCAUGCCGCGUGUGUGAAGAAGGCCUUCGGGUUGUAAAGCACUUUCAGUGGGGAAGAAAGCCUUGGGGCUAAUACCCUCGAGGAAGGACAUCACCCACAGAAGAAGCACUGGCUAACUCCGUGCCAGCAGCCGCGGUAAUACGGAGGGUGCGAGCGUUAAUCGGAAUUACUGGGCGUAAAGCGCGCGUAGGCGGUCUGAUAAGCCGGUUGUGAAAGCCCCGGGCUCAACCUGGGAACGGCAUCCGGAACGGUCAGGCUAGAGUGCAGGAGAGGAAGGUAGAAUUCCCGGUGUAGCGGUGAAAUGCGUAGAGAUCGGGAGGAAUACCAGUGGCGAAGGCGGCCUUCUGGACUGACACUGACGCUGAGGUGCGAAAGCGUGGGUAGCAAACAGGAUUAGAUACCCCAGUAGUC
rnacentral:rRNA from 1 species